GAGUGACGGGUUAUCGAGGAGGUUCCAUAAGAUAUAUGGCAAAAUAUAUUGUCCAAUAGGGACAACGGGAGGCGAAGCGACUAUUUAAUUAUUAUAAUUAUUCUUAAUAAUAAAGAGGCCAGAAUUUCUGAUGCCUUCCAGCCAUAGAAGACUGAUUGGAGACUUCCUACAGACCCGCGGCAGCAGCAGCAGCAGCUUCGUCCAUUCAGGCGGCGGCAGGGAAUAUAUUCAUCUGUCUUGCAGGAAAUCUUUGGGACCUGAAUUGCUCUGGCUUUAGUGAAACUGGUGAGAAGGUGGUCCACAUGGGAACGUACAAGAACACAUCAGAAAUUCGAACAGGUACUUCCACGAUCAUUUGAGUCGACACAACAACCUCCUCCUCCUCCUGCUGUUCCAGUGCUUGAUGUGAGCAGAGUGUCCCAGUCCGAUACGUACACACUUUCUUUUUUCUAUUUUUCGGAAGUAUACACACACUACGAGCUUCAAGUAAAGUGCUACUAGAAGUCAGGCCUUCAUAUUGAAUACUAAUCACCAGCCGACUGACCAUCCACUAAGGACACAGCUGAUAUGGGUAAACCGAGAAAACCGGGUAAACCAAAGCAUCCGUGCUGGGAAUAUGUAAAGCCGAUACAAGAUCCUGCUAAUCCAUCUAAAAAAAGGUGGCAAUGUAAUUAUUGCAACAAAGACUAUUCGGGAGGGGCUGCAAGGAUCCAGGUGCAUUUGGGUUUGGUGAUAGGCCAAGGAAUCGAACCUUGCCAGAAAUUCAAGAAAGGACAUAUGAGUCAGGUGCCUGAGAAUGGAAUGAGUUCAGCUGCAGAGAAUGCUCAAGUUGCAGGUUUUCCAAGCGGUGGACUCGUCUUUAAUCAAGAAAGCCUAAAUAUUCCGCCGCAAACCAGUCUCGGUGGAGCUAUUAGGUCUAUAGAAUCAGAAAUGGAUUGUUCAGCGCAUACCUCAGAUCUGUCAAUGGGGGACUCAACUAUACUUGCGGCCACCAUAAAUUAUUUCAGUGCUGUUGUGGAUUCUCAGCCACCUGUGGAUCCAUCUAAUAUUAUGCCGCAACAGUAUAAUAUGUCAGCUUCGACCUUGAAUCGUGAGCUAAUGGUUGACAUCGGUGGAGAGAACCCGGGACCGGGAGUACAAUCUGGUUUGCUGCGAUAUAGUCCUGAUCUGCCAGAGGAAUACCACCAGGCAGAUGCAAUGCAAGUUGAUCGAGAUACGUGCAGGGAGAGUGGUCAGCGUACUGGUGCUGCUUUUCCAGAUUUGACUUGUGAUGCAAUCCUAGUUCCAGAGCUAGUGGGUCAAGAAUUUAACAGAGUCGUCAAUGAGAUCUGGGACUACAUAACAAAGGAAAAUAUUUUACACGUCGGCAUAUAUGGGAUGGGGGGAGUUGGGAAAACCACAAUUGUAAAGCACCUCUAUAAUAAAGUAUGCGCCAAUGCUGACUUUUGUAAUGUAUUAUGGGUCACCGUGUCAAAAGAUUGCAGUAUCCACGAGCUGCAAAACAAGAUUGCGAAAGCAAUAAAUGUGCCAGACCUUUUCAAGGAUGCGGACAAAGUGAUGAGGCCAACCUUGUUGUACAAACAUUUAAGCAAGCAGAAGAAGUCCCUAAUUAUUUUAGACGACUUGUGGCAGCAUUUGGAGCUCAAAGAUGUAGGGAUUCCGGUGAUGAAAGAUGGCAUUCAGCUUGUAUUGACAACUCGAAAUCGUCAUGUUUGUGAGAAGAUGUUGUGUCAGAAGACAAUUGGCGUCAAGCCCCUAUCAAACGAAGAAUCGUGGACAUUGUUUGUCCGGACAUUUGGUUCUGAUCUUUCUCCUAGUUGGGAACCUACUGCAAAGAGUAUCGCAGAGGAGUGCAAGGGUAUGCCACUUGCUAUUGUUGUUAUGGCAGCGAGCAUGAGGGGGGUGCACAGUGAUCAUGUAUGGGAAGACACACUGGAAACAUUAAAACAUCCGGGAGCUUUACAAGAGGACAUGCAAACAAGUGUUUUCCCAAUUCUACGAUACAGUUACGACUGCUUGGAUGCAGAGAAGCAACAAUGUCUUUUACAGUGUGCUCUAUACCCUGAGGAUUGGAAAGUCCCCAGAGAAGAAUUGAUAGAACUUUGUAUCGAUGAGGGGGUGAUUGGUGGAGAUAGCAGGUGGAAGAUGCACAACAGAGGCCACCGAUUAUUAGAUGAACUUGAAAAGGCCUGUCUCCUAGAAUAUGUACCAAUACAUGGUGGUGGUUUUGUUGCUCUUACAAAAGGGGUAAGGAUGCAUGAUGUGAUUCGGGAUAUGGCAUUGUACAUCAUGAAUGCAAACAGCCCUUGCAUGGUGAAAUCUGGCUUGCAUUUGGAUGACAUGCCCGGUGAGGACGAGUGGAUGCCUAAUCUUCAAAGGGUCUCGUUGAUGAAGAGUAGAGUAAAAGUAGUUUCGUCCAUGUCACCGAAUUGUCCUAAACUCACAACUCUGCUGCUAAGUGGAUGUUGGGGACUGGGUGAUUUUCCAGAUUGCUUCUUUGAGUGGCUACCGGGGUUAAAGGUUAUUGAUUUGAGCGACACUGGGAUCAGAAAAGUGCCAGAAUCUAUCACCAAUCUGGAAAAGUUGAACGCACUGAUACUCAAAAGAUGCUGUCAAUUAUAUGUUAUUCCUUCAUUGGCGAAGUUGACAUCUUUAAAGAAGUUGGACCUCCAAGGGUGCGAAUGUUUGCAAGAAGUGCCAGAUGGGCUGGGGAUGUUGGUUAAUCUAACAUAUCUCGACUUUUCAAAAACAAGGAUUGAGAAGAUAAGUGAUGGAGUAAUAGGUAAAUUGCAGAAGCUACAGUAUCUAACUACGAAUUAUAUAAAAGUAAAGGGAGAAGAAAUUGCAAAAUUGAAGAAGUUGGAGUCACUUUAUUGUCGUCUUCAAUAUGGUAAUGAGCAGAGCAAGCAUAUACAACACCCAACAAUGAUAAAGUCCUACGCUCUCAUCAUAGGAUUUCAUGGAUAUGAUGAUCAAGGUCCACGUUUGUGUCCAAUUGACGAAGAGGAUUAUAAAUUCGGGAAAGUCAAUUCCAUGUGGGGUAAGAAAUCCAUAGCUUUGGGUGAUAUUGGACAAUACAGCAUGGGGGAGACUUUUCAUCUCCCACGAGAUGUGAAGACAUUGGCAGUUGAGCAUUACAAUGGGACGUGGAGUGAUAUUUGCAGACUUGAAGACCUGGGGGAGCUCCAGAUAUUUGACUGCAGGGAGGUGUCGGCACUUCUUUUCCUAUCACAGCAAGGAGACCACUGCCCCAAUCUCAAGGUGCUACAGAUCCGUGGUUGUCUAAAAUUGAAGCAUCUGUUGGUGCGGUACUUCAAGAAACUAGAAAAGCUCUAUAUAUACGAAUGCGAGGAGCUGGAGAGUAUAAUAGGAGGAGCAACAGACGAAGAAGAAUCACUGACAUCAUCACUGCCACCCAACGCAAUUCCUGCAGCCACGUUCCCCUUGCAGCUUCCUCUUCUUACAUCAAUAUGUGUCUGGGAAUGUUCAAAGAUGAAGAGGGUGCUAACUCUUGAGUUAUUCAUGCUCCUCCCCAACCUCCAGUUUAUCCAGGUUUGGUAUUGCAAAGAGAUGAAGGAGGUGAUAGGCGGCCAAGAAUUAGACCACGGAGCCACCAGCAGCUUGUUCUUGUCGCCCAUUACAGCAGCCUCUCCUCGCAAUCAAUUAAGUACAAGAAAGCUGACCUUGAAGUUGUACUGCCUUGAGGAGCUGGAGAGCAUAUGCAGUUGGACCGGACUUCGAGAUCUCAUACAUGUCAUUAACAUACGGAGAUGUCCAAAGCUGAAGAGGAUUGAAAUGCUAGAUAAUGCUUCUCCUCCCCCUUCUCUUGAGGAGAUAGUACUAGAGGAAGAAGGGGAUGGAAAUACAGAAAAACUAUGGUGGGAAUCUCUGGAGUGGGUCCACCCUGAGGCCAAGACCGCCCUUGAACCCUAUGUGUUUGUUAAAUCGUUUGGCCGAAAAAUUCCUUUACAAGAACGGCGGGACCAUCACCAUCUACAAAAAAAAAAAGAGAGUAUGGGGUGUGCGGGCCAGGCCAGCUCGUUAAGGACUCGGGAGACUGAAGACAAUUUCUCUAUAUGGCGGACAACUGACACUUUCUAUAAUAAAAAGACAUCAAGUAACAAUCAACAGAAGAAAUUAUGUAUGGUCUCACGUACAUCUACCCUGUCCAACAGCCAAGACCUAGAUCAGUUUGACAUCCACACGUACAUAUGUUCUUCAGCUCACUGCUGCUUCUCUCUGGACAAUAUCUUAGGACCGUGUGGAUAGCUUGCAGAGGAAGGAAGCUCACGCCGAUAGUUGCGCACUGCUUGCUGCCUUUCUUAAAUGAAACUCUUGAACCAUUUUGUGUUUCAUAAAUUUUAUUGAUUCUGGGAGCACCUUUCCCAGUAUAUACUGAUUAUGCUUCGGAGAGGCCUGCAUCUGUUAUGGAUCAUGCUUUGGAUAUGCCCGCACCUAAUAUGGGCACUGUCUCAUCCCAUUUUACGGUUGAGACCGCAUUUUCGAGGCAGCUAUCUUCAUCCCAACCAAUAGCUGAUGGAUGGAUCUGGAAUGGUGAUGUACCAUUCAAAACUUUGCACCGAUGUUAUGUUCGUUCAAGUUCUGCUUGGUCCGGAAAUUCUUUUACCAUCAGUUGUAGCGCUUAGAAGCUUGCUUCUCUGUCUGGCAAAUUUCCGAGGACCAUGGAUAGCUUGAAGAGGGAGUCGAAUUGCUGCUUGCUGCCUUACUUACAUGAAACUCUUGAGCCAUUUGGUGUAUGAUAAAAGUUUUUUAAGGCCGGAUUCAGAUAGUAGUAUUCUUUCGGAGUGUGUAUUGCGCAUGCAUGUAGCUUGUUUUAGACCUUCCUGGGCAUUUGCUGGAUGAACCGUAUCCUACUUGUCUGUUUGCUUGUU